ACCAACCCUCUCUCUACUCUGUCAAAGCUACAAACAACCACACGCCAUAAAUGUUUUAAAAUUACAAAUCCUUUUUUGGUAAUUAAAAUAUUUCUGUACAAAACAAAUAACUCCUAAGAGUCUGCGGAAAACAGACCUUACGUAAAGAACAAAAUCAAAGAUCACUGCGGUCCCAAGAUCUACAGCCACCUAAACUACUCGUGGUCGGAGAAGAAGGAAUCACGCUAUGGAUAGUACUUCUUCCUCACUCUUAUUAUCUCUUCCAGUUAAUCUUACCUG
rnacentral:lncRNA from 1 species